rnacentral:rRNA from 1 species
AUACGUAUGGGGCAAGCGUUGUUCGGAUUUAUUGGGCGUAAAGGGCGUGUAGGCGGCUCAUCAAGUCUGGUGUGAAAUUGCAGAGCUUAACUCUGCGUAUGCGCUGGAAACUGGUGGGCUUGAGUUCUUGAGGGGAAGCUGGAAUUCCAGGUGUAGGAGUGAAAUCUGUAGAUAUCUGGAAGAACACCGGUGGCGAAGGCGAGCUUCUAUCAGAGGACUGACGCUGAGGCGCGAAAGCGUGGGGAGCAAACAGGAUUAGAUACCCUGGUAGUCCACGCUGUAAACGAUGUGCACUAGGCGUGGGGCACGUACGUGUUCUGUGCCGUAGCUAACGUGAUAAGUGCACCGCCUGGGGAGUAUGCUCGCAAGGGUGAA